AUCCCUGUGUGAGGCUUUUUGAAGGAUGUGUGCCUGUGUGAAAUAGGGCAGGACUGAAGCUCUGAAGCUUUUGAGGUUUCCCUUUACUUCGGAAUAUUUGACAACUACUUGCUACUCGAUAGAAUGCUGAUGACAGCACUGGCUUCAAAUCCUGGACACUGGUCUAAUUGCCCGGCUCCGUCAGCCCUGCCCAGCUUUAUUGCUGUUACUGCACAUGGAUUUUUACAAAAUAUUGUGAUUAGGAUAGUACGGAAACUUAUAUGUAGAAAUCUGUUUUGCAUCGUGCUCUGAUUGCGUUUUUCUAAUCCAUAUGCAUAAUAUCUAACCUGAACUGUAUGAACACCUUCUGCAGUAGCAUGUUUCAAAACAAAUUCUGGUGAUGCUGAGGCUUCCCCAGCAGCUUACAGCUGCAGAACAGAUACAAUCCUUGAAGACUCUCACUGAAAGCUUUUCCCCCAGAAGAGGAUAAUAGUUCAACUUUUCAAAUUUGUAAGAUUCUUUUUAAUUACUUUGUUGAUAGUGCAUCUAAAACUUUAAAUUAAUUAGUUUCUAAA